UACGUAGGGUGCGAGCGUUAAUCGGAAUUACUGGGCGUAAAGCGUGCGCAGGCGGUUUGUUAAGCCAGAUGUGAAAGCCCCGGGCUCAACCUGGGAACUGCGUCUGGUACUGGCAAGCUAGAGUACGGCAGAGGGGGGUGGAAUUCCACGUGUAGCAGUGAAAUGCGUAGAGAUGUGGAGGAACACCGAUGGCGAAGGCAGCCCCCUGGGCCGAUACUGACGCUCAGGCACGAAAGCGUGGGGAGCAAACAGG
rnacentral:rRNA from 1 species